UAUUUUAUAGUUAAGUAUCUUCUCCCUUAUAAUAGGGGAUUCCUUUUCCUCAAGAGAGGACUGUAUUUUCUCCCCAAAUCUGAGAUGCUUCAGAUCUCCAAAGCUGAAUAUGCUGUAUAGUCAGCUUGUGGAAGCACUGAGUAACAACGAGGGCCCAGUUUUUCAUGAACAUGGCUACUGGAGCAAGUCAGAUUAGGCAAGCUCACGGCCACAUGAAGAAGAUACGUUGUCCUGAGAUGCUGACUGUUUAAAUUUUUGCCAGAGUUUCUCUUGAGGUUUUGUUUCUGUUUCCUCAGACCCUGUUUUCAUGUUGUUGAAUAAACUUUCUAAAAUAAAAGCAUGUUGAAUUUACCUUGGUGACCAGCUCAUUUCUGGGGGACAAACGAAUUUUCCAAAGUGCUAAGGAUGAUAUUGAAACA
rnacentral:lncRNA from 1 species